rnacentral:rRNA from 1 species
UGCGGAGGGAUCAUUACACAAAUAUGAAGGCGGGCUGGAACCUCUCGGGGUUACAGCCUUGCUGAAUUAUUCACCCUUGUCUUUUGCGUACUUCUUGUUUCCUUGGUGGGUUCGCCCACCACUAGGACAANCAUAAACCUUUUGUAAUUGCAAUCAGCGUCAGUAACAAAUUAAUAAUUACAACUUUCAACAACGGAUCUCUUGGUUCUGGCAUCGAUGAAGAACGCAGCGAAAUGCGAUAAGUAGUGUGAAUUGCAGAAUUCAGUGAAUCAUCGAAUCUUUGAACGCACAUUGCGCCCUUUGGUAUUCCAAAGGGCAUGCCUGUUCGAGCGUCAUUUGUACCCUCAAGCUUUGCUUGGUGUUGGGCGUCUUGUCUCUAGCUUUGCUGGAGACUCGCCUUAAAGUAAUUGGCAGCCGGCCUACUGGUUUCGGAGCGCAGCACAAGUCGCACUCUCUAUCAGCAAAGGUCUAGCAUCCAUUAAGCCUUUUUUUCAACUUUUGACCUCGGAUCAGGUAGGGAUACCCGCUGAACUUAAGCAUAUCAAUAA